rnacentral:rRNA from 1 species
GAUGCGGGGGUGCGGUCGGAAGAACCGAGCAGGGCUUCCCUUCAGGGGGCCGUCCGACCGUGCCGAAUCCGCGUCGUCCGACGCAUUUGUCUCUCGUCCGAAGGACGCCGCAGCCGGUGGGGCAGCGAAAGCGUGACGGCCUGAAGGCGUGGUAAUGGCAGGUGGCCGGUGGCGGACUUGGUUGUCCUUCGCCGGUUGUUAGCCGUCUGCGCAGUGGCCCGUCGCUCCACCGAGGUAUCACCAGGCUCGCACGGGCCGAAUCGUCUCCUCCGUUUGUUCGGACGCCGGGACAGAUCGUGGCAGGCGAAUUCCGCCGUCCCGUCGCACUCCCCACGAGUGGACGGGCGAACGGACGUCACCGCUGGCCACGGCGGGCCCGUCGGAGGUCGACGGCUGGCGGCGAGUAGGUCGGUCACCCACCCGACCCGUCUUGAAACACGGACCAAGGAGUCUAACAUGUGCGCGAGUCAAUGGGUCUUGAACAGGCCCAGGGGCGCAAUGAAAGCAAAGGUCGGCGCACGUCGGCUGAGUCGGGAUCCCCUCCCGAUUUUUUAGGGGGGG